AAUUUUGAGCAGUCGCGGUUAGCUUUUGCUAGCUGAGGAAAGUCCACGCACGCACAAGCUGCGAUGCUUGUAGUGAUCGUAUUCAGCUCAACAAGCUGGAGAAUAUUUUUUUAAUAUGACGGCGGAAAAAGUGCUAAGUCUUCGUGAUAUGCAUGACUAUCCUGAAAAGUGCCACAGUGACGUAGCAAAAUUGGAAACAAUUUUGGUGGAACGAGGUAAACCCUGCGAGUGUGCAACCCAAAUUUGGUGGGGGCGUCUCGACCUAAGAAAAUGAACUAAAGGUCGGAUUAUUGCUCUAAGCAAUAAAGAUAGAUGGCUGCUAAAGAUAAUUUUUGCCGAAGAUUAUUGGAACAGAACGUGGCUUAUAGAA
rnacentral:RNase_P_RNA from 1 species